UACAGAGGGUGCAAGCGUUAAUCGGAAUUACUGGGCGUAAAGCGCGCGUAGGUGGUUCGUUAAGUUGGAUGUGAAAUCCCCGGGCUUAACCUGGGAAUUGCGCUUGAAACUAGCGGGCUUGAGUGUGGCAGAGGGGGGUGGAAUUCCACGUGUAGCAGUGAAAUGCGUAGAGAUGUGGAGGAACACCGAUGGCGAAGGCAGCCCCCUGGGUCAACACUGACGCUCAUGCACGAAAGCGUGGGGAGCAAACAGG
rnacentral:rRNA from 1 species